UACGGAGGGAGCUAGCGUUGUUCGGAAUUACUGGGCGUAAAGGGCUCGUAGGCGGCCAACUAAGUCGGAUGUGAAAUCCCCAGGCUUAACCUGGGAACUGCAUCCGAUACUGGAUGGCUUGAAUCCGGGAGAGGGAUGCAGAAUUCCGGGUGUAGCGGUGGAAUGCGUAGAGAUCCGGAGGAAGACCGGUGGCGAAGGCGGCCUGCUGGGCAGUUACUGACACUGAUGCGCGACAGCGUGGGGAGCAAACAGG
rnacentral:rRNA from 1 species